rnacentral:tRNA from 1 species
GAGUGAGAAGCCACCAAGGCGAAGCUUCUAACUUCCCCCUUAAGCGGUUAAAGUCCGUUUUCACUCC